CCAGGGCUCCAAUCAGGGUAUAAUGCAGAGUUCUGCAGGGCCCACACCUUGACCCAGGACUGCUGGUUCCACUCAGCAGAAAAGCAGGAAAGCGGUCUGUGGGGUCACCCUGAGUCCUCCCAUUCUUAGUCAGGGAGACUGACUAAGCCCCAGCGAACUGCAAGGGGCCCACUGUCCAAAGUCCAGAGACCUUUUGUCCAAAGAUCUUUGGUCCAAAGACCAGGUUGAAAUACCUCUGGACUCUUGCCACAGAAUAACAGCUCAUUACAGUAGGAGAUGUUUCCAUUUUUUUAUUCCUUUUUACUAGAAAAGUAAAUGAUUUGGGGAAUUCGCCUGACUGAUACAAAGGCGAAAGAAGAUUGGACUGUUAGAAUUUAACUAAUGUCUGCUACCAAGCAGGAUGAAACUUGUCUUUAUUGAAGGGGGAGUUGAAGGUUAAAAGGUAACGUUUGCCUGCAGGUUGAGAUUUGCACACAGAAUUUCCAGGCUGCUGAGUUUCAGCAGGUUAACUGCGAAGAAGCCGGCACUCAUCUCUUGCGGACUUCUCCGGUGAAGGGGGACUUGACAACUGAGCCUUCACUAAUAGGUGACAAAAAUGAUGUUCUCUUACAAGACCACCAACAUUCUUCAAACGUCAGUGACAUAAAACAGGAGGGGGGUUUAGAGCUCUGGAUUCUCUGUCUGGAAAUGUCACAAUUUAAUCGCGAAGGUUUGCUGUGAAGUUGUAAGCAUGAUGGUGUGAAACUUGACAGAUUAUUCUUGAAUUCUUUGUUUGUUUUUGUUGUGGCCUGACUCUCAUAAAAUUUAUUUUUUCUUUAAAACUCCCAGGAUGUGUGGACAUAUGAUUUAAGUGGAGAAAAAUAUUGUUAAAACAUUUAUCAAGGAGUUAUCACUUUUCCAUUGUUUUCAUUAAAUGAAAAGCCCUAAUAGUCAGAGAAUCUAAUACUAUAGAUUUUCUCUGCAUCUUAAAAAAAGUCAAUAAAUGUUCAUGCAAAGAGUUUGUUUUGAAAAUGUGUGCAACACCCACUGUGUUAAAAUCAUUUUAAUUGUGUGCGUGUGCCCCCCAACACACAUAUAGGAAAAAAAAAUCACAUAGUUAUUCUCCAAAAAGUUAAUACUAUAUAUCCCAGGAUGGUGAGAUUAAGUUUAAUUUUCUUUUUUUCUUUGUGCAUUUCUGUAAUUUUCCAAAUAUCCUAUAAUGGCCAAGUAUUUUUUAAAAACAAGAGCAUAUAUAUAACCAAUUGUAAAAAAUUUAUAUAGAUUUCUACAUUUGUAUAGAUUUCUACAUUUGUAUAGAUUUCUACAUUAUAAACUCCCAAUAGAAAUUUUUAAAAUGCCUUUUGGAGUUAUUGGUAUUGAGAAGAAAAUUGUAUAUUAUUUCCAUGUUUUGUGUUGCAUUUUAACAGAAAAUUUUUUUUUAUCGUGGUCAUAAUAGUUUGUAACAUUGUGAAAUUUCAAUUGUACGUUAUUACUUGUCAGACACCAUAUAAGUUAACACAAUUUUUAAUGUUAUUUUGAUUUCAUAUAGGAAAAUUGCAUUUUAAAUCAAAUACUUCAUAAUGGAGCUCACUUAUCUAGAGUUCAACACAUUUUAGAUUGAGGAUGAAAAAGGAGGCAGAGAAUAAGUCAAGAGGAGCUUGUAAAAUGAUGAAAACAAGGUAGGAAGGAAAAUUCUAAAUCUGGAGUUGAGUCUUUCUGGAGAAGAUUAAGAUUGUGGAGAGCUGCAUACAAUCCAAACAUGUGAUGACCAAGAAAAACCAUCAUUAUAUAAAUAGACAGUCUGGAAUCCCAGUUCCCCCCAUUUUUUUCUGGGAAAGUCUCAAUUUUUCUCCAAUGGCCACCCUCCCAUGUGCCCAAGUUGGUCUAAACUAUGUAUGAUGGUUUCAUUCCCUUCGUCACUGACUCUUUUAGGCAAUCUCUGCCAUUGGGAACUAAGGGGAAUUCUGCUGGGGGAAUUCUGGAGAGAUUUUUCCUUCCUUAUGAAAACUGAAUAAAAUAUUUAAAGCAACUAUUGAAAGGCAUAAAAGAACAACCAAGGCAGAUAAGACUUGAGUGGCUAAAAUCCUGGAGAGAGAGGAGACAUACAGAAAGAAGCCCCACAUUUGCCUCUACCUCUGUGAAUUAAUGGUGUGGAGAGUAAAGGUGGAGCAAAAAGUGAUAGCUGGGGACAGGAGAAAUCUCACUGGGCUGGAAAAAGUUGGGGUUUGGAGUUUCCAAAGAGGAUGAGCAGAUGGAGGUUGAAGUGUGGGUCCCAACAAGACUCAAGAGCCUUGGUACAGUUGAGACCCCAGACGACUCUACCAUGGGAGCAAGAACAAACCAUUAAAAGAUUAAGCCUAUCAAAGCUUAAGAUUCACCCUCAACCAGAUCAGGUUGAUCUGAAAACAUCCUAUCUGCCUUCCAGAAAAGAAUUAAAUCCUCUUUGGAUGAAAAUAUCAUCAACCAGAGCCUUACAAUUUUCCAUACAUAAUGUCUGACAUUCAGUAAAAAAUUUACCAAUAUAUGAAUAAAUAGGGUCAAGUGACAAAAACCAAAAGAAGAAACAGAUAAUAUACGUAGACCUAAAGGUGAUUGAGAUAUUGGAGAUAUCAGACAAGGAAUUAAAAGCAAUUCUGAUUAACGUGUUUAAGAAGAGAAAAUAGAAUAAAAGUGAAGAAUUUCAUCAGAAAAAUUAUAGGAAUCUUGAAGGGGGCAUGAGGUGCCAGUAAAUAUCUUGAUCUUUAUGAUGAUUAAUUGGGGGUUGUAAAAAUUCAUCAAUUCAAAUUCAUUAAAUUCACCAUUUAAGAUUUGUGUAUGUGUGUUAUACUUUUUAAGAAGUUGAGUAAUAAAAAAAUUCUAAGAGAAAGAGAGAAAGAAAAUGUUUAACUCUUCUUUGCUGGACAUUAUCAUACCUGUGAUCCUUCAAAUUAAUGAGCUUCUCUCAAUCAUGAGGGAAGACACUGUUGAUGUGAUGAAGACAGCAAGUAGAAAGCUGAAAUUACCUAGGUCCAGGGGGAUACAGCAAAUAUUUAAAACCAGCACACUCUAGGCACCAACCAACUGGAAUACAAUCAAUAAUGACUUAACUAUUUGGGAAUAGCCCUACUGCAAUAGUUAAGAGUAGGAUCCAGAGCUGGAUGGCUUGGGUUUAAAUCCUGGAUCUUCCACCUAAUAUUUGUAUAAUCUUUAGCAAAUUGUUAAACUCUCCAUACCUCAGCUGCCUCAUCUCAAGUUGGGGAUACAUCAUGAGGUUUGUAUAAAGGAGUAAAUGAGUUAAUACAUGUUAAGAAUGUAGAAUAAUACCUGGGACUUAGUCCUUAAUGUUAUUUCUUGAAUUAAGUAUUAUUAAUAUUAUUAUUACUUAUGGAUUUUUGUUA
ensembl:lncRNA